rnacentral:lncRNA from 1 species
AGCUAAUAGUGCAACGAACAUCAGUUGUUUUUACCAGCACAGCAUCCUUACCCCUCUUCUCAUAUCAGCCUCAAAUUAUGCCCACAACCCUUCCUCUCUGCCCAUGCUACAGUGGAGCUGAGCCCACCCCAAUCCCCAGCCCCGCGAGGGGCUUUGUGACUUAGGCCUAGCCAAUCAGAGCAGCGAAUUCACUUGGCCACUGUGAUUGGUUGGGGAUGGCACAUGACCACAGCUAGGCCAAGAAGAACCCUUGCUAGGAUUUAUGCUUCAACCAGCGGGAUGAAAAAGCCCUCUUUGUACUGGAGUGCCGAACUGACUGGCUGAAAGAAAAUUUCAGAAGAGAGCUGGAUGAAAAGAUGCCUUGAUGACAUCAUUUCACCAGCGGUACAUCAGAAAUAUGGCCCCGUCUGGAGACAGUACACAACUUGGCGCUUUCCACUGCCCUUCCAAUCAGGAGCAACUACAGCUGUCGAGGGAGCACUGAAAAAAUGUCAAUUAGCUAUAAAAGUUCCACAAACAAGCAUUAUGUCUUCCUCUUACGAGUCCCUGGGUGAAGCUCAAAAUUGAGCAAUAAUGUCCACAGUUAAAAAUGGUUGUGGGGGGCCCCAGCACUCUCUUUUCCCAUUAAUAAUGGCUUUGGCGCUGGUGCUGGAGUCAUUGCACGUGUGGGGGGCAGGCAGCUGCAGGAUAUGUGUGUUACGAAUAGCUACAGCUCCCUUCACAUUGAUGGGGAGGGGACGCGACCCCGGGUCCCUCUAGGCGCAUCGCCCAUGGCGAGGUCAUCCCUCAGGGGAAUGGGGACGCGAGGCGCAUCCAGCCUCCUGGUUAUUCUCCUCCCGGCUCUGCAGGUGCUGGCUGCUUCUCUCAGGCCGUGCCUACGAAUCACAUCGUGACUGCUCUGGCUCGGAAGGGGAAUGAGAGAGCAGUCUGCCUUCUGGUGUCACCCUCUGUGACUGUCCGGGGGUGGCCCCAUGUGACCUUUAUUUAUGGACAAGCACACUGUCCUCUAGGCUAAAAAAGCAGAGCAAGUCUCUUCUGCAAGCGAAAGCCUGCAUGUGGGGCCGGUGGAUGGGGCCUGUCUUGACAUGUGAAGUAUAAUAAAUCCUUACUUAUGAAAAC